rnacentral:rRNA from 1 species
GACGAACGCUGGCGGCGUGCUUAACACAUGCAAGUCGAGCGGUAAGGCCCUUUCGGGGGUACACGAGCGGCGAACGGGUGAGUAACACGUGGGUGACCUGCCCCCAGCUCUGGGAUAAGCCUGGGAAACCGGGUCUAAUACCGGAUAUGACUCCAUGACGCAUGUUGUGGGGUGGAAAGCCUUGUGCGGCUGAGGAUGGGCCCGCGGCCUAUCAGCUUGUUGGGUGGGGUGAUGGCCACCAAGGCGACGACGGGUAGCCGGCCUGAGAGGGCGACCGGCCACACUGGGACUGAGACACGGCCCA